AUUGAACGCUGGCGGAAUGCUUUACACAUGCAAGUCGAGCGGCAGCGCGGGGGCAACCUGGCGGCGAGCGGCGAACGGGUGAGUAAUACAUCGGAACGUGCCCAGACGUGGGGGGAUAACUACUCGAAAGAGUGGCUAAUACCGCAUACGAUCUACGGAUGAAAGCGGGGGAUCGCAAGACCUCGCGCGUCUGGAGCGGCUGAUGGCAGAUUAGGUAGUUGGUGGGAUAAAAGCCUACCAAGCCAACGAUCUGUAGCUGGUCUGAGAGGAUGAUCAGCCACACUGGGACUGAGACACGGCCCAGACUCCUACGGGAGGCAGCAGUGGGGAAUUUUGGACAAUGGGCGAAAGCCUGAUCCAGCCAUUCCGCGUGCAGGAUGAAGCGUUUCGGCGUGUAAACUGCUUUUAUCACCGAAGAUUAAUGACUGUAGGUGAAGAAUAAGGACCGGCUAACUACGUGCCAGCAGCCGCGGUAAU
rnacentral:rRNA from 1 species